GGCUACUGGACUCUCACCAUUGAGGGUGCAGCACUCCAUCGCUUCGCCUAGCAGCACGAAGCUUGUAUUGCUCUCCCACAACCCCGUUUUCACGGUUUAGACUGCUCCCAUUUCGCUCGCUGCUACUACGGGAAUCGCUUUCAUUAUUUUUCUUUCUUCGCACCUCUUCUCACAGAACUCACUCACCUCUUUGUCUUGGUUUUUUCUCUUUAUGCAAAUUUAAAUAUUAACUCUCGAUCGACCUUACAUCAUCUUCUUCUUUUACAGUAAAUCCAGAUAUGGAAGGUGAAAUAGAAGUCAAUACCUCCAUUAUCUUCUUCUUCUACAAUGGAUCCAGAUCCAGAUAAAGCCAAACUCACCUCUUUCUCUUGUUUUUUCAAUGAUAAAAUCCUUCUUGCGGUUAAUUGGGGGUUGCGUUUUACUUCAAUCGGUUCCUAUUGUGAUUCCUGAUGAUGAUGGCGUGGUGGUGGUGAUGAAGUAGAAGAUGCCUCAGUUUGCUAAUAAGAUUGCUCGUUACAUUCUGUUUAGUGAGUUCGGGUUUUAGGUGAUGAAGUAGGAGACUCAGUUUGCGAAUAAAGUUGGUGCGUUUGGUGAUGAAAUCACUAUUUUUCGUGAUAAGAGCAAGAUUACUGUUAACUCCUACUACCCUUUAUCACCAGGUGGUUUAGCUUUGAAGGCAGUUGAGACAAACACGUCAUCUCUGAAAGAAUCAUCCAUGGGUGGCAGCUGAUUUGGGUUCACAUUUGAGUGUUUUGGUCCACCAGCAUAUAAGUGAAAAUCUGAUGGGAGUAGAAUACUACCUUUGAGAUGAAUGAGGUAUCUUUGCCUCCAUGGAGGCCCGACCUUUAAACAACAAGAUCCCGGAAGUGGACUUUACCAGCAUUACCAAGAAUUACCCCUCAUCUACUAGAGUUUCAGGUGUAUCUUUAUUUGAAUUUGAUGGUGAAGGGAUAGAUAUAUGGUUCCUUCGCUAACGACACUGUUGAUUAAUUCAGGAGUUUUAUUUGGAAGCUUUGGAGAUGGCUAAUCAACAUGCUGAAAUUCAACAGUUGUAUCAUUAAAUGAAUCUUCACAUCAGGUUUUAAACUCGGGUCUGCGAAACAUAUAGCAGAAGCAAUAGUGAAGAAGUACGGUGUCGUAAGGUUGACUUAUGAAGUUGAAGGACUAGCUGUGCUGAAAACAACCCAGAUAAGUCCUGCGCUGUGCUCAGGGGUGUGUUGUACUUGAUAGACACGAGGCUCACAGCAAAGGAAAGUGAGUUCUUAGCUUCAAGAACUCCUUUAGUUUUGGUUCUUAAGAUUUACUCUUAAUAACACUAUGUUGAAGAGUUUCUUCUUGGAAGUAUUCAUGCCUUGUAGAAUACUUUAGUGGGGUAUUCGUGCAUUGUAUAUAGAAUACUUCAGUGGGUAUAUGUAAAGAUUUUAUUGCAAAAAUAGUUGAAUCUGAAUGCUAUUGUGGAUUCCAGAGGUUACUUGUUGAAGACGGAUUUGAUCAUAUAAAAGUGACAUUUGUAAGGUAUAUCAAAGCUCAACAAAGAAGUUUGAGGUUUGUUGCCAGCAAACAUGUUCCAUCUCCUAAUUUGGCUAUUACAUAGUUUUGUUUCUGAAUGCAACUUGCUUUUCUUGGUAUGUCAUUGAUAAGAGAUAGGGAUUGAGAAACACGUAUAAUGGACAAGCUCCGCUCGGACUCCGGUUUUAAACUAGGGUUUGCGGAACAUACAUCAGAAGCAAUAGUGAUCUCCAAGGAAGCAUUGGUAUUUGGUUUUGGAAUCUCCAAUAUGAUGAGACCCAAACAAGAAUGCUUAUGAAGAUCCAUUUGUCUUCACUGGAACCGCGAAUGAAGCUCCUUCAAUUUCGGAAACUGUUGGAGAUGAUGAGUAUUGGAAUGGAGAUAUUCAGGUAAUAAUGCUGGUUUUCACACUUGUUUAGUGGCUUUUCUUGUAAGAUUUAUAUUUUUCAGAACUCAAGAUUUUGAUUCUUUUUAUGUAAUUUGAACCCAAUAAAACAAUGAAUGUUAAAUUGAAUGAUUAUGUGUGUGUAAGUUUAAUUUGA